AAAAAAAUGUAAUUUUUAAAAAAUCAAAUAAAUGGAGCAUUUUCUAAAUUCAAAACGCACAGGACAUUUAGAAGAUACAUGUUUGCCCGACUCAAGAACGAAUAUAGUAUCGCCAAUAACAGCAGGAUUUCCUCAUUGGUCAAAGGUCUCAGCUGUGGCUGCUAGCUGACCCUUAACUACCCCAUCUCCCUCCAAUGGGAUGAUAGCAUCAGCCGUGCCUCAGAGCUCUCAGGAACUGGUGCCACUGUAUCCUUUCUGGCAAAUAUAGUCCUCUAUCAUCUGGUGAGGAAAUAAUGUGAUGAAGCCUGUGCCAGCUUCCUCCUGGUGCUUCCCAGCAACCCCUGGUGACAGUUGAAGGUUUCAGGUUUUAAUACUGGCCUGAGAACAAGCAUUGACACCCUCUAGGUUCAGAGGUACUGUAUGUGAUGGACAUCACCCGGAGCGCGGUUCAUAAGAAAAUCAUUAUUCUACCCCACUGUGCCUGUGUCUUCCAGCCAUACUGAUAAGGAUGUCCUAGGGGGUGACCAUUAAAACAUACCUAAUGAGAAUGUAUCUGCAAGUCAGGAUUUGGAUCCACUUUGGGAGUUUUUAUUUUAUAUCACCAAGCACAGGGCGCAUUCAGUACUGCUGCCGGGUGAGCGAGCCUUGUGAAGCUUCCUCUCACCUGUGACAAAGUGCCCACGUUCAACCCUCCUUCACUCUAUACGAAUAGGGCUUUUGAACGUGUCUCCCAUGAACGGUAAUGCUGGGAAGGUCCUGUUUAAUCAGGUCGUGGGAGGCUGUAAGCGAGGCAGAUUGUCAGUGAUAUUCCCAUAGGUGCAGGGACACUGGGCCACUGCUCUAGCCUUUGGUCUACCUGUGGUUGAUUCUGGAUUCCUAACUAUAUACUCCGUGGGACAGUGAGAACAAUCUUCCCUGCAAACUGUCCUGCUGGCCUAAAACCUGACCUUGUUGCGCUGAUACAAUCCGGUGAAAUUGUGUUUACCUUCAAGAUAAGCAGGACUGAGUCUUGUAAGAAUAUUGAAAGGGAUUUACACACAAGUUCUAAAUAGGCCUAAACUUAGAAUAUAUAUUUGAAUGGAUAUGGAAUGUGUAUGCAUGGCACAUGGUAUUGAGGUCUAGAAAAAAAUAUAGUGCAGCAUGAUCUCACAAACCCACUGCUAGAGUCUUGGUUUUUUACAGUCUUGAAAGAAAUGUCAAGCAAACAAUAAUGGACAAAUUGAGAAUGAUGUUGUCUUGUCUCGCACAGUAUUACAGUACAAUACCCAUAUUUAAUGGAGGGGCAAAAGACUGGACUGUUUUGGAAACUGUAAAGCAAGACAAAGUACUGAUGUUCUAAACUGAAUUACAUAUGGAUUGAGUGGCCUUCUAUCAAUGCGGUUGUUCUGUUGAGAUUCCUCUGGCAGUCUCCUGGG